rnacentral:rRNA from 1 species
UUAAGUGACUAAGCGUACACGGUGGAUGCCUUGGCAGUCAGAGGCGAUGAAAGACGUAGUAACUUGCGAUAAGCCCAGAUUAGGUAGUAACAACCAUUUGAGUCUGGGAUUUCUGAAUGGGGAAACCCACGUGCAUAAGCACGUAUCCUUACUUGAAUACAUAGGGUAAGGAGGCGAACCGGGGGAACUGAAACAUCUAAGUACCCCGAGGAAAAGAAAUCAACCGAGAUUCCGAAAGUAGCGGCGAGCGAAAUUGGACUAGCCCUUAAGCUUUACACGCGUUAGACGAACGGUCUGGAAAGUCCGACGAUACAGGGUGAUAGUCCCGUAGUUGACGACGUGUGUUCAGUGAAAUCGAGUAGGGCGGGACACGUGAUAUCCUGUCUGAAUAUGGGGGGACCAUCCUCCAAGGCUAAAUACUACUGACUGACCGAUAGUGAACCAGUACCGUGAGGGAAAGGCGAAAAGAACCCCUGUGAGGGGAGUGAAAUAGAACCUGAAACCGUGUACGUACAAGCAGUAGGAGCAGGCUUGUCCUGUGACUGCGUACCUUUUGUAUAAUGGGUCAGCGACUUAUAUUCAGUGGCAAGGUUAACCAUCUAGGGGAGCCGUAGGGAAACCGAGUCUUAACUGGGCGUUCAGUCUCUGGAUAUAGACCCGAAACCAGGUGAUCUAGCCAUGGGCAGGUUGAAGGUUGAGUAACAUCAACUGGAGGACCGAACCGACUAAUGUUGAAAAAUUAGCGGAUGACUUGUGGCUAGGGGUGAAAGGCCAAUCAAACCUGGAGAUAGCUGGUUCUCCCCGAAAGCUAUUUAGGUAGCGCCUCGGACGAAUACUACUGGGGGUAGAGCACUGUUAAGGCUAGGGGGUCAUCCCGACUUACCAACCCUUUGCAAACUCCGAAUACCAGUAAGUACUAUCCGGGAGACACACGACGGGUGCUAACGUCCGUCGUGGAGAGGGAAACAACCCAGACCGCCAGCUAAGGUCCCAAAUUACUACUAAGUGGGAAACGAUGUGGGAAGGCUCAGACAGCCAGGAUGUUGGCUUAGAAGCAGCCAUCAUUUAAAGAAAGCGUAAUAGCUCACUGGUCGAGUCGGCCUGCGCGGAAGAUGUAACGGGGCUAAGUAGUAAACCGAAGCUGCGGCAAUGUGCUUUUGCACAUUGGGUAGGGGAGCGUUCUGUAAGCGGUUGAAGGUGUGUGGUAACGCAUGCUGGACGUAUCAGAAGUGCGAAUGCUGACAUGAGUAACGAUAAAGGGGGUGAAAAACCUCCUCGCCGGAAGACCAAGGGUUCCUGUCCAACGUUAAUCGGGGCAGGGUAAGUCGACCCCUAAGGCGAGGCCGAAAGGCGUAGUCGAUGGGAAACGGGUUAAUAUUCCCGUACUUCUUACAAUUGCGAUGGGGGGACGGAGAAGGCUAGGUGGGCCUGGCGACGGUUGUCCAGGUUCAAGUGCGUAGGCUUGAGAGUUAGGUAAAUCCGGCUCUCUUUAAGGCUGAGACACGACGUCGAGCUACUACGGUAGUGAAGUCAUUGAUGCCAUGCUUCCAGGAAAAGCCUCUAAGCUUCAGAUUGUAAGGAAUCGUACCCCAAACCGACACAGGUGGUCGGGUAGAGAAUACCAAGGCGCUUGAGAGAACUCGGGUGAAGGAACUAGGCAAAAUGGUACCGUAACUUCGGGAGAAGGUACGCUCUUGAUGGUGAAGUCCCUUGCGGAUGGAGCUGACGAGAGUCGCAGAUACCAGGUGGCUGCAACUGUUUAUUAAAAACACAGCACUGUGCAAAAUCGUAAGAUGACGUAUACGGUGUGACGCCUGCCCGGUGCCGGAAGGUUAAUUGAUGGGGUUAGACUUCGGUCGAAGCUCUUGAUCGAAGCCCCGGUAAACGGCGGCCGUAACUAUAACGGUCCUAAGGUAGCGAAAUUCCUUGUCGGGUAAGUUCCGACCUGCACGAAUGGCGUAAUGAUGGCCACGCUGUCUCCACCCGAGACUCAGUGAAAUUGAAAUCGCUGUGAAGAUGCAGUGUACCCGCGGCUAGACGGAAAGACCCCGUGAACCUUUACUACAGCUUGGCACUGAACAUUGACCCUACAUGUGUAGGAUAGGUGGGAGGCUUUGAAGCAAGUACGCCAGUAUUUGUGGAGCCGUCCUUGAAAUACCACCCUUGUAGUGUUGAUGUUCUAACGUCGACCCCUUAUCGGGGUUGCGGACAGUGCCUGGUGGGUAGUUUGACUGGGGCGGUCUCCUCCCAAAGAGUAACGGAGGAGCACGAAGGUGGGCUAAUCACGGUUGGACAUCGUGAGGUUAGUGCAAUGGCAUAAGCCCGCUUGACUGCGAGAAUGACAAUUCGAGCAGGUGCGAAAGCAGGUCAUAGUGAUCCGGUGGUUCUGAAUGGAAGGGCCAUCGCUCAACGGAUAAAAGGUACUCCGGGGAUAACAGGCUGAUACCGCCCAAGAGUUCAUAUCGACGGCGGUGUUUGGCACCUCGAUGUCGGCUCAUCACAUCCUGGGGCUGAAGUCGGUCCCAAGGGUAUGGCUGUUCGCCAUUUAAAGUGGUACGCGAGCUGGGUUUAGAACGUCGUGAGACAGUUCGGUCCCUAUCUGCCGUGGGCGUUGGAAGAUUGAAGGGGGCUGCUCCUAGUACGAGAGGACCGGAGUGGACGAACCUCUGGUGUUCGGGUUGUGUCGCCAGACGCAUUGCCCGGUAGCUAAGUUCGGAAUCGAUAACCGCUGAAAGCAUCUAAGCGGGAAGCGAGCCCUGAGAUGAGUCUUCCCUGAUACUUUAAGUAUCCUAAAGGGUUGUCGGAGACUACGACGUUGAUAGGUCAGGUGUGUAAGUGCUGUGAGGCAUUGAGCUAACUGAUACUAAUUGCCCGUGAGGCUUAACCAU